UCCUCCUGUUUAAAAUGCAAAUAACCAUUUUCAGCUUUUAAUUUACUUUUUAAAUUUACCAAUUAUAUUUUUCAGUCACCACACAGGAGAAACUAUCACUGCAUCACCAUGAUUGCAAAGAUUUGUGUCGUCCUUCUUCUGUUUGUUGCCUCUGGCAACGCACAGACCACAACCAGAACCACCACGGCUGCACCAACAACCAGAACCACCACGGCUGCACCAACAACCAGAACCACCACGGCUGCACUAACAACAACAGCAGCACCACCAACCACACAAACAGACACACCCACACCCACACCCACAAUCACACCCACACCCACACCCACACCCGCAUCUUGUGAUACCAGCACAGCUAGACCAACAACCCCAUCCAGCACAGAUGGUUGUGAGACCAACAAGGCCAGACCGACAUGCAGUGUGGAGUGUGUUUGUAAAUGCUGAUCUCUGAUAUGUCAUCACACGUGUCUCUGAUGGAGGUGUCUAUAAUUAAUCAAAACUUCUUUGAUUGGAGGACUCUGUAAUGUUCUGAUUCAGAGGGUUGUGUGUGAAUCUGCUUUUUGUCUGUUAUUGCAUAAAAACAAUAAAGGUUUACCAAAGUUAUUCUUUGAA